rnacentral:snoRNA from 17 species
AGGCAGCCCCUUUGUCUGAUUUCAAUGGCAAUGGAGGUGUUGCGUUGCUCGGAGAGUGAUUCUUCUGCUCUUCAGAUUAGCUGAGAGGGUAGGCUUGCUUUCCCUCGUUGAAGCUUGUCUAGUAGUCUUAAGAACAUU